UUCGUGAACGAGCUAUUACCGUCUUUCCAAGAAAAGGAUGGGGUUUUGCAUGAGGGAUUGAUGAGUUGCCGAAUAGGCAUGAUCACGUGCCAUCUACUGUGAUGAAAGGUGGGUAGGUGCAAUCUGCGCCGUUGUUUUGGGGGGUGGAUAUGCUUCUCGCGCUCUUCAAGGAUUCCCGCAAAGUGCAAAGAGCUUAUUAAUCUUGACCAACAGGUUGAUGCGAGAUUGCAAAAUUUAAAAAAAGAGGUGGUUGUCCAAGAUUCUAAGAACUAAAUCACAGGAAGACUCUUGCACAGGGCUGGGAAAUUGAGUUGAAGAAGUUAGAGGAUUCCAUCAAGUAUAUACAUGAAGAGAUGAUAUAUGUGCGUGAAACGUAUUUCAUGAUUUUGUCUUUCUGUUUUUCUGUCGCUCUUAAAUCACAGUUUGGUGAUUUAAAGCAUUACUGGAGAUUACUGGAGAAUGAAUUGGCAGGUUACUGCAAUCAGGGAGAUGCUAGUUAAUGUAGGAGAUCCUAGGAUGAAUGCUAUCCCAAAAUGUUGGAAUCGGGCAUCACAGUAUUUCAUUAUUCCAUCAAGGUAGGGAUCUACCCAGGUGGAUAAUGAAUA